rnacentral:rRNA from 1 species
AGGGGGGAAAAUUUAAUAGUUAAAAAAUAUAAAAAAUAAUUUUAAUAUAAAAUAUUUAAUGGGGGUUAAAGUAUAUUUAUAGAAAAAAUUAAAAAAUUUAUAGUGAAUUAGUAUUGUGAAAUAAAAUUGAAAAUAUUGAAAUAAAAAUUUAUAUAAAAGUAAAUUUCAUUUAUUGUAUCUUGUGUAUCAGAGUUUAUUAAAAAGAUAAUUUAGUUAAAUUUAUUUCGAAUUUCAAAGAGUUAAUUAAUUAAAAAAGUUAAUAUUGCAUAAUUAUUUUUAAUAAUUAAUUGGAAAUGAAAAGUUAAUCGUUUUGAAAUAUAUCUAAUUUUUUUAGAAAAAAAUUUAAUUUUAAAUUAUUUUUUUUUAAUUAAUUUAUUAAUUAAUUAAUUAAAAAAAUAAUUUUAUAUUUUAAGGGAUAAGCUUUAAAUUAAAUUUUUAUAAUAAAAAUAAAAUAAUUGAAAUUUUUAAGAUUUAUAUUUUUUAUAAAUUAUAAUUUUUUAUAAAUAAUUUCAUUUAAUUAAAAUUUUAUUUUAAUUUAAUUUUUUAUAAAAAAAUAUUUUUUAAUAAUAAAAAAUUAGUUAUAAUGAUAAAAUUAGUAUAUAAUUUAAAAUAAAAAAAAAAAUUAUUUAAAUUAAUAAAAAGGAAUUCGGCAAAAAUUUAUAUUCACUUGUUUAUCAAAAACAUGUCUUUUUGAAAAUAAUUUAAAGUCUAAUCUGCCCACUGAAUUAUUUUAAAGGGCUGCAGUAUAUUGACUGUACAAAGGUAGCAUAAUCAAUAGUCUUUUAAUUGAAGACUUGUAUGAAUGAUUUGAUGAGAUAUAAACUGUCUCUUUAUUAAUAAUAGAAUUUAAUUUUUUAGUCAAAAAGCUAAAAUUUUUAUAAAAGACGAGAAGACCCUAUAGAGUUUUAUAUUUUAUUAAAUAUUAAUUUUAUAUAAAAUUUUGAAUUAAUAUUUAAUAAAAUAUUUUGUUGGGGUGAUAGAAAAAUUUAAAAAACUUUUUUUAAAAAUUAUACAUUAAUUAAUGAAAUUUUGAUCCAUAAUUUAUGAUUAAAAGAUUAAAUUACCUUAGGGAUAACAGCGUAAUUUUUUUUUUUAGUUCUUAUAAAAAAAAAAGUUUGCGACCUCGAUGUUGGAUUAAAAUAAAAUUUAAAUGCAAAAGUUUAAAAUUUUGAUCUGUUCGAUCAUUAAAAUCUUACAUGAUCUGAGUUCAAACCGGGGGGAGCCAGGUUGGUUUCUAUCUUUAUAUAAAUGUAAUAAUUUAGUACGAAAGGAUCAAUUAUUAGAAAUAAUUUUUUAUAAAUGAAUGUUAUUAAUUUUUU